UGAAAGAGGAUGGCAAUCUCGCUGAAGCUGUUUCUUUUUCUUCACAACAUAUAGGAAAGUGUUGCCCCUUUUUGGAGAAAGUAACAACCUCCACCGACACUACUUGAAUCAGUAUUGGACAAAUGUCAGGUACUUGGGAAACUCUCCAGCCCUAUCCCCUGUCCUGGCCGGGUGUGCUCCAAGUGCACCAUUUGGCUAAGUCAAUUUGAAAUAUUUGGGAGACCUUUGUACCUACGAUUCCUUCUGCUUGGAAGAUCCUUUCUGUUUUGUCAGCUCUUACUUCCCUGUUGUGGAAAACUGAUCUGACCUCCUAGUCCUGAAUCAGGGGCCAUAAAGAAAACUGAUGAGGACAACUGGCCUCCCAGUAUGUGGAUUCAGUUUCCGUAUGUCAAUUUAUCAACUCCCACUGGUAGUCUGAAGAGUUAUGGCUACUGGAGAACAGAAAAUCACCAGUAUUAAUAAAAGCAAUUUUAAGUGUUUACCUUUUAGUAUUUGAAUAGCUUUGUUAAAGAGACAUACUCAAGAAUACUAUGAAGAGACUUAUUGUACUCCUUACCUGGAGAUAAUUGUGAUGCCAGAAAUUCAAAUUUAUAUUCAACAAUAUGGUUUUUCACCAUCAAUAUUAUAAACAUCUAGGCAGUGUUUAUUGUUUACGCAUUUGCCAUCCUCUAAAAUGAGAUUAUUCUAAGCAUAA